CGUAGAAUGUCGCCUCCGGCUUUUUCGGACGGAGGUGGUGCGUCUCAGGUUAAGCCGGAAGGGGAGUUAAAGAAUGAGGGGAGAAGCCAGUGAUUUGCUGCUUCACCUGGGAAACGAGAAGGUUGGGGCCUUAGUCCUGCUCAGGUCCUGCUGUGUGGGCUGCAGGGGAGAAGGAAGAUAACCCCCGAUAGGACUCCGCUAAAAAGCAAGGCCUCCCAGGGUUCUGGUUUUGCUGAAGGGACAAAUUGAAGUCUCGGUGGAGGUUAGGGGGCAGCCGCCGGGAGAUGAGGGGAGUUAGUCUAGGGUCGGCUGAGGGGUCGGACUGCAGUUCAUUAAGACCUAGUUGCGUCCCUUCAGGGAACCAGGCAGUAAUGUCCGCGUAAGAAGAUUGCAUUAUACUAGUUUUUGCAUGUCCAGAACUUAUGGUGUGAAUACACUUCCCCAAACUCCCUUGGCUUUCUUUUAAGGCUCCUGGCAGAGCUGUAGAAGACAUAACACCUCCAAAGAAAAGCUUUGCUUCGCAGACCAAGGUUAAAUAUUUGGAACAUGUCAUCUUUUAAGCAUCUAACCAAAAUUAAAUCAAAGGCAUCUCCCAUGUCCUGAAUUCGCUCCCCUUUUCGUACCUUUCUGUGUGUGGCCAGGUACCAUAUACACUAACAUCUCUAUUUGCUUAAACACAGUUUAAGCAUUUAACAUUAUUACUUCCUGGAAAAACUCAUGGUCUACAAAAUUUAUAUUAAAAAGUAACAAGCGUUCUUUAGGAGAGAAUUCCAACAAGGUUACCAAAUAGAUGUAUUUGAAAGUUUCUUAUAUAGCAAAGAAGGUUAGGGCCAAGCUAUACAACUUUGUAAUCAGAGCAGUAAGCACUAGAUAACGGUGUUUUAAAAUGUACCCAAGAUUUGGUUCAAUCAGGUAAAGAAAAACCUGCAGAGACGACAGUGAUUGUCGUGAAGGGGUAGGUUUUUGUAUUCUCAGAUCCAUAGAAACGAUGGCACAGAGCCUGUGCCAUACAGGGGCACCACACCAGGAAGGGUGAGGGUCAUUCAAUAAAUUUAGGAAGCAUAAUGAUCACUGCAGGGAAGCAUUAUUUAGUUCUGGAAGAAAAUGUUUUUUACAGUAUGAGUUGUGAAAUCAGUUCUGUGAGUCUCGGUUAACUUUUUAAAAACUAAAUAAAAUAUAUCGGAUUGUUCCAUGUAGAUCCUUUGGCUGAAUUUUGCACAUUGUAAAGAAUGUUGAGAUCCAUUGCAGCAUAUGAGAAAAGUAUUCUGAUGAAAGGGAUAUGAUAAAAUGUAUAUUGGCUAACAUGGUUUUCAAUUAUUGAUGUCACUUAGUUUUCAUAAUAGCAAAGUUAAUUGUGCAGGACAGUUUUGUAUUUCUGUGACUUGCAAUUAGAUACGAAGUCUGAAUUAUUCACUUGAGAAUCCUUUGUAAGCUGGGUACAUUUUUGGAGAUGUUAUCUAGGUCCCCCCUUUUUUGUGUUAGUGGCAGUCAUUUUACACUAACUGAAUAAACUUAUUAAAAUCAUCAUUUCUAUGUGAAGAGAAAGGAAUAAUGAAAUGAAAUAUACAGAAACAUGGCCAACUGUUAGAUCCGAAAGUGUGAAUGUUGACAAUAUUGAAAAAUAUUAACUCUAAUCUUUCAACAUCAACAUCAUUUGAAUCACAUUUCAAAAAAAUUUAAGUACAGGGUGUUAUAAUGAAGAUUACUUAAACCAUGAUUUUAUCAAAUUUGAAAAAGCCUUUGAAAAUGAUAGACCUCAGUGUGUGAUUUGUAAUAGUACUCUUGCAAUUGAAAGCUUAAAACUUUCAAAAUGUAAAAAGACUUGGAAACUCUGCAUGCUGAGCUUACUGAUAAACAUGGAAUAUUUUCAAAGAAAGAAAAAAAGACAGAGUCAUCAGCACAGUUCUUAGUUGUACUAGUAUUGUUAGUGAAAAAACCUUACUGUCAUCAUAUUCUGUUGUGUAUCAUGUGGCAAAGAGGAAGUGUCUCACACAGCUGCUGAAAAAAUUAUCCUUCCAGCAUGUUUGGAUAUGAUGCAUAAUAUUUUGAUGCUAAGUCACCUGGUAAGAACUAUACCCAGUAAUUAUAUAGUAUGUCUUCAAAUUUGUACUUAUGUGUACUUCAGAUUUGCAGAAUGUUUAGCAACAAUACUCAUAACUGGGCUACAGUCUGAUAUAGAUUGUGCAGUCCAGCGCAAUGAGAGCACUGAUCCUAGAAGCUGCACAAAACCGUUUAUGUCAGGUAAACAUGGCAGGAUGACUGACUGUAUGGAAGGUUUUUGGUGUUUUUAAAAUUUAACCUCACAUCUAAGUGGAUUAGAUACUAUUGGGAAAGUGCAUUGUUCAUCGGUAUAAACUAAACUGGAAAAAUUGUAAAGCAAUUACACAUGAUGGAACAGCACACCUAACUGGAAAAAUGUAAUUAAAAAAUUGCUAGAAGUUAUUAAAGGUGCUAUGUGGAAUCACUGUUAUAUGUUGUGAAGCUUUAGCUUCCAGAGAAACCCACCGACUCUUAGAAAUAUUGAAAAGUGCAGUAAAAGUUUUUAAUUUUACUAAAGAAAGCUCAUUGAAUAGCCAGCUUCUUGAAACACUUUGUUUAGAAUUGAGAAGUAACUAUACCUACUUAU